CUUUACAAUGGGUGGACGAACAAACAUGUAGUUGUAACCAGACAAGUUGGACACACAGGAACAGAGGGGUUGAGGGCCCUGCUCAAUGAGCUUACAUGCUAGAAGGAGUGGGGUAAAAUGACACAAAAAGGUAAGGAUAGUAUUAGACUAGUGACAGUUGCAGAAGAGGAAUCGGUCAGGAGCUAUUAACAGUUUAAUGUGUAAUUUGGGGUAACUGUAGAGGAGACAGGACCAUAGACGAUCAUUGUGGAGGCAGAGAGACCAACAAUCAUCAUGAAACUAGGGAAUCCAUGAGUCUUCAGGAUCAGCCCAUUCCCCAGGAUGACUUAGGCAAUGGUACUCAGUAUUGCUAUAAUAGAGGUUGAUUUAAUACUUUCACAAACUGGUACUGCUUAUUUGGAUGUCAUUUGUCAAUGGAGUACUGCAUGAUAAAAUUCGACAAAUAUGCUUUAUUGUGUAUUAAUAUAAAAUGAUUGCAUUUGAAAUUAAAGCAACGUUUC